GAUGAACGCUGGCGGCGUGCCUAAUACAUGCAAGUCGAGCGAACAGACGAGGAGCUUGCUCCGCUGACGUGAGAGGCGGACGGGGGAGCAAGACGUGGAUAACCUAAUUAUAAGACGGGAAUAAAUCUAGGAAACCGGAGCUAAGACCGGAGAAUAUAUUAUAUCGCAAGGUUCAAUAGUGAAAGAGGGUAUUGCUGUGACGUGUAGAUGGAUCAGCGUCGCAUUAGCCAGUAGGUACGGUGACGGCUUACCAAGGCAACGAUGCGUAGCGGUCCUGAGAGGGUCGUUGGCCACCCGGGAACUGAGACAGGUUCGAGACCCCUACGGGAGGCAGCAGUAGGGACUCCUACGCGAGGGGGCAAAGGCGGACGGAGCACCGCCGCGUCAGUCAUGAUGGUCUUCGGAUCGUAAAGCGCUGUUAGUAGGGAAGAAGUAAUGUGUAAGUAACUGUGCACGUCUUGACGGUACCUAAGCAGAAAGCCACGGCUAACUACGUG
rnacentral:rRNA from 1 species